UUUACAAGAAGAAAUCCAGGGUUCAUCACCUUCAUAUCAAGAGAUUCAAAGGUAUCCAUGUAACUCGUCAGCCAUUGGAGGACUGAGGAGUACAAAAGUAACUCAUCAUCCGUUCAAUAUUGAGUCUGAACCGGAUCACAUCAGAGUCUAGAAUUUUAGGAUAUUGUUGUUUUGUGGCCCUAAGAAAAAAUAAAUUAUGUGUAGGCAUUCUCUAAAGUUCAUUUCAAGAUUGUAAAGCAACUUUUUCUUCAAAGUUAUUUAAGAUUUCAAAGUUAUUCUUGUU